rnacentral:sRNA from 1 species
AAAGUGCUUAGUAGGCACGUCAGAAUGAUUUUAGGUGAUGACAAGCUCACUGCUACCGUACAGAUGUUAUUUCCCUUGUACGGUGCUUGAGUCACUGAAGUAUCGGUGACGCCACUCGAUUGUUAGCAUGUAAUAAAGCUUAGAAUUGUUAUGGACAGAAGCCAAUCUCUUUGUUAUGAGGGCUGUUUAUGUCCAGGUCUUGUAUGCUAUUAUAAUACUUAUGGCUUGUGCUAUGGAUGGUAUAAUCUGUGCUCCAAACUAUACAGUAAAUAUUUUUGCGGG